ACCUCUUCCAUCGCAGCCUGCUCCCACUAUCUCCUCUCUUCGUUUUCCUCUUUCCCCACGCCAAAGGACAACCAUGGCAGAUGAAGCCCACAUCCCUCUCGUCCUUUCCUCACUAUUCACAACGUCACCAUGGUACUCGAAGCCAUGGAAAAGCUUCCACUCCGCCGAAUCCUCAACGAGUAGGGAAUCAAAAUUGAAAUCGAUUCAAACACUCUUGGACCCAUUGCGUUGCUCAAAAUCAGGUAAAAUCGCUUCCCAUUUCUCUUUGUUUUUUUUUUUUUACUGUUUUUAGCUUUAAAAACGUUAUUCAUCGGCGUUCUCAUUUUAUUAUUUUAUACGGUUGAAAUCCCGACUGAAAUGUGUUAUUUUAUACGGUUGAAAUUCCGACUGAAAUAUGUGUUAUUUUAUACGGUUGAAAUCUCGACUGAAAUAUGUAUUAUUUUCUGAUCUUGUCGAGACGGUUGAAAUCCCGAUCGAAAUACUGAUUUGUUACUGUUCUGUGAUGUUUGACUGUUUCGGGGUUUUACCUUACGUAAAAAGGUUUAGUUGUCUAAAUUUGGCCUUAGCUUAGGUUCUGUUUAAUUUUUUUUUCCAUUUUGUUCUGAUUCAGAAAUAUGCAAUUGAAAUGUAUUAUAACCAAGAAUAUUAGAAAAUAUUAACAUUCAAUAUGGUUCGGUUAUGUUUUUCUGAGGUCCUGCCUAAAAAGUGAUUUUCGAUGUAGCCUUGGUUCUAAGUUUGUGAAUUAAGAUUACAUUGUAGUGUUCUUCUCUCUUUUUUUUUUUAACAAUGUUGGAGUUUGUUUGAAGUCCUCAGUUUUUAUCGAGUUCUCUUUCGCCUUAACAUCGGUGGAAAUUUAUUAGCUACUUCUCUUAGUUUGAGAAUUUGUUACUACUUUUCUCCUUAGUUCAUAUGUAUAGCUUAAUUUGUAUUAGUUGGUUAAGAGGAACCAAUUUGGUCGAUUACUGGUCGAAGGUGAAGUUAAUUUCUUCCCUUAUUGGCUAGCUUGAAUUCCUAAAUCCUCCUCUGUUUAGUCUAACUAAUAUUGUCCAGUUUCUUUUUUUUUUUGGUUCACUUAAAUUCCCAUAAAGUUUAGCUCUUUAUUUUCUUUGUUAGAUAAUUAGUUUACUUUACUCUGUUUCCUUUUAAAAUUCAUAUCUUUUUGGUAGAGGAAAACAAUUGGGUUGAAUACUCGGUUAAGGUGAAGUUAAUCUUUUCCCUUUACGACUGAUUUUACUUCCCAAAGCUUGUAUCCUCCAGGACCGGUUCUUCGUUUCUUUUAGCACUUAAGUUAGAUUCUGUACCUUUUUCUCUCUAUGCUAGCAGUUGAUGUGUUGAACGGAACAAGAAAGUUAAGUUUGGUUCGAAUAUGAAUGGUGUUGAGGUCUCACCACAAACUCAUAUCAUGAAGGCUCCCAAAAAUAGAAAUUUCCAUGACUUCCAUUGUUAUCUAGUAACUCCCUUAUUUUCAUCCCAUCUCAAUCCUUAAGCUUGCUUAUUUCCAAUUCUGCGCAGCUUUUAUAUUCAUAAAUCGUCUAAAGUUUAAAAGCUUUAAUGUCUGUCCUUUCUGUCCAGCCCCUCUUUUUCAGUUCUUUUUUUUUUCUUUUUUCACUUUAGUUCUUCUUAUGAUUCCCUUCACUUAGUUUGCUACCUUUUUUUGGCUUACUUACAUACAUUUGUCCGUUAACAAGAGAAAAUAUUUUGGUUGAGUACUAGUGAAGGAGAAGUUGAUCUUUUUCACUUUGUAACUAGUGUUUUUUUUUUACUCCCAAAAUACUUCUCCUCUAUCUUUAAAAACUUUAUUCUAAAAAUCUGUUCAGUUUCUCAGUUUCAGCUUGUUUAAGAUUACCAGAUUUUAUUUUAGUCGCUAUGUCAUCAUUUAUUUGCCUUUUUUUUUUUCUGUCGUAGUUCUUAAGAAAGGAAGAAGCUAAUUUGGUCGAUUACUAGCCAUAGGUGAAGUUAAUAUCUUCCCUUCUUGGCUAGCUUGAACUCCCAAAUUCUUCCUCUCUUUAUCAUCCAAGGGCUGUCCAGGUUUUUUUUUUUUUAGUUUAUUUCCAAUAAGUUUAGAUUCUUGGUUAGUUAGUUAGUUUUACUCUACUUUCCUUAAGAAGUUGUUUAUCUUAUGUUUUGUUGGAGGGACAUGGGAUUAGCUUGGUGCCAACGGCAAUGACUUACGUCAUUUUUUGGUGAUGGCCUAUACUGUAAAUACCCCAUCCACCACCUACAUUAAGUUCUAUGUUUGGUAAGGCAUUGAAAUUUCCUUUUCAGUUGUUCUUUGUUCGAAUCAUUGUCUUAUUUAUGUGAUUAAAGGCUGCUUGGUUAUUAGACUUAGAUUCAGAAGAGUUAAGUACGUUUGACAUUUUAAACCUCUCAUUCCUUACCCUUGGAUCCACAGCCUUAAUCCUCUAUUCUUAAGAUUGAUUAACUUUGGCUCUGUCUCUUUUUUUUUGUGUAACUUGGCUAAGUUUAAAAGUUCUAACUUCUGUUUCUUCCACUUUCUGCCCAGCCUUUGUUUAACUUUAUAUGAUUACUUUAGCUUGUUUUUUUUGUGGUUCUCUGAACAUUAGUUCGCUACUGUUUUAAUCCUUGUUUAUGUGUCGAAUUAUUAGUUUAUAUCUUUUGGUGGAGGGAAAUGAAAUCUCGACCUAAUACUAGAUCGAGAUGAAGUUGAGCUUUCAAAGAAUCUCACCCUCCAUCCCUAAGGCUUAUUAGCCUGAAUUUUUAACCUGGAUUAUUUUUUUUUCUUUCUUUUUCCUUCAAAUUGCGAAUAUCUUUUGUAACUUAAGGGUAUAUGAACGUGAUUAGUCCUUCUUUGGAUUCAUUAUGGAACCAGAGAAUUUAGGCUUGAAUUGUUGCUUUGUCUAGAUAAAAGAGUCAUCAGUUUGUAGCAUGUAUUUGGCAAAUAUGAAUUUGCAGAACCCAAGUUUGGCAAAUUUAGUUACUUCAAGAUGAGUUUCAUUUUCUUUACUGGAAGCAUGCUCUGAAAAAUGGGCAAAAGAAGGUUUUCUUUACCAACAUAUUAUGCGAUUGCCCUGUCUUCCCUAAAAUUCCUGUGUACCUUCCUUCCAAUAUUUUAGGGAAAGCCGGAGUUUUCUUUUAUGAUCUUGAGAGUUGUUUUCAGUUCUAAUAAUCUUUAUCAAGCCUAGCUUUUUCUACACUUUUAAAUACGAUAAUAAUUCUUUUGUUUUCUAUCAGAAAGAUCCAAAAAUAGAUGUAAAAGAUUCUAUUAGUUGUUGUUUGAGGUGUCUGUGAUAUAUGUUUAAUUUUUAGUAGUGACCUGCGCAUCUUUUAUGGAUUAACGAGCUGUUUGAGUCAAAUUCUUUCUUCGUUUGAUCAACAUACAUGCUAUAAUUUUAUCUAGUUAUCAAGUAUGUUACUAAUCCUUUAUCUUAAUUUUUUAUGCAUGAACCCUAUGAUACGAGUUCAAUGGACUCCCCACUUCCUGCAUAUUGCGCGCUGGGCUUUUGGCCCAACAUAACAAAUCUCGAGUCCAAACAGUAGCAACAUAGCAGUGGUGGCGACGGAAAUAUUGCAAAUCUCGGUUGGAAGUCUGAGAGAACCUAGGACAGGCCCUUUUUAGACUCUCUCCGACUAAGCCCGACUAUUAGAAUAAUUUUAUCGGGAUUGAGGCCCAAUUCUUUGCUCUCUCCUUUGGAUUUCUACUUCUGUUUUGCUUACCUUUUUUGUGUAAACAUUUUUUAGACACUAAAUAAAGCCCCAGCAGGCAUUUGUGAAUACA